UACGUAGGGGGCGAGCGUUGUCCGAAUUUACUGGGCGUAAAGCGCACGUAGGCGGCUUGUCAAGUCCGAUGUGAAAUCCCGGAGCUCAACUUCGGAACUGCAUUGGAAACUGGCAGGCUUGAGUGCAGGAGAGGAGAGUGGAAUUCCUGGUGUAGCGGUGAAAUGCGUAGAUAUCAGGAGGAACACCCGUGGCGAAGGCGGCUCUCUGGUCUGCAACUGACGCUGAGGUGCGAAAGCUAGGGGAG
rnacentral:rRNA from 1 species